rnacentral:rRNA from 1 species
GUAGGUGGCAAGCGUUGUCCGGAAUUAUUGGGCGUAAAGCGCGCGCAGGCGGUUCUUUAAGUCUGAUGUGAAAGCCCACGGCUCAACCGUGGAGGGUCAUUGGAAACUGGAGAACUUGAGUACGGAAGAGGAAAGCGGAAUUCCACGUGUAGCGGUGAAAUGCGUAGAGAUGUGGAGGAACACCAGUGGCGAAGGCGGCUUUCUGGUCUGUAACUGACGCUGAGGCGCGAAAGCGUGGGGAGCAAACAGGGAUUAGAUACCCUGGUAGUCCACGCCGUAAACGAUGAGUGCUAAGUGUUAGGGGGGUUUCCGCCCCCUUAGUGCUGCAGCUAACGCAUUAAGCACUCCGCCUGGGGAUACGGCCGCAAGGCUG